UUGUGCAGUCAAAAUUAUCUAUUAGGUUGCUGCAAAAGUAAUUGCGGUUUUUGUCAUUUAAAGUAAUGGCGAUUACUUUUGCAACAGCCUAAUAAAAUCAUUUU
rnacentral:miRNA from 1 species